GAUGAACGCUGGCGGCGUGCCUAAUACAUGCAAGUAGAACGCUGAAGGAGGAGCUUGCUCUUCUGGAUGAGUUGCGAACGGGUGAGUAACGCGUAGGUAACCUGCCUGGUAGCGGGGGAUAACUAUUGGAAACGAUAGCUAAUACCGCAUGACAACAGUUAUUGCAUGAUAACUGUUUAAAAGGGGCAACUGCUCCACUACCAGAUGGACCUGCGUUGUAUUAGCUAGUUGGUGAGGUAACGGCUCACCAAGGCGACGAUACAUAGCCGACCUGAGAGGGUGAUCGGCCACACUGGGACUGAGACACGGCCCAGACUCCUACGGGAGGCAGCAGUAGGGAAUCUUCGGCAAUAGACGGAAGUCUGACCGAGCAACGCCGCGUGAGUGAAGAAGGUUGUCGGAUCGUAAAGCUCUGUUGUAAGAGAAGAACGAGUGUGAGAGUGGAAAGUUCACACUGUGACGGUAGCUUACCAGAAAGGGACGGCUAACUACGUG
rnacentral:rRNA from 1 species